rnacentral:lncRNA from 1 species
GAACAAAAAGAAUUCAUUGCACAUUCGCCGAUAAGAAAGAACAAGGAACUAAUAUUAAAGCAAUUAUAACAAUUAUAAAAGAACUGUACCCACAAUUUGCAUUGCCAUAUAAAUAAAAGAAAAUUCUGCGAGACGACCCCUUUCCUUAUGAUGGACAUGAAAUGGAAGAACUAAUGGAUGAACCACCAAGAGAGGCGUUUUUUUUGGUAAAGGAAUUUAUUCGGAAGUAUAAACAGUGUACAACUGAACAUAGCCCCAAUACAACCAUCAGCAUUCAUAAACGA